UGCGCCCUACGGGACGCAGCAGUGAGGAAUAUUGGUCAAUGGGCGGGAGCCUGAACCAGCCACGUCGCGUGAAGGAAGAAGGUACUUAGUAUUGUAAACUUCUUUUGUCGGGGAACAAAGGCGGAGACGCGUCUCCGGAUGAGUGUACCCGAAGAAAAAGCAUCGGCUAACUCCGUGCCAGCAGCCGCGGUAAUACGGAGGAUGCGAGCGUUAUCCGGAUUUAUUGGGUUUAAAGGGUGCGCAGGUGGGAGAUCAAGUCAGCGGUAAAAUGUCGGGGCUCAACCUCGGCCGGCCGCUGAAACUGG
rnacentral:rRNA from 1 species